GCUCAGUAACACGUAGUCAACUUAACCUAUGGAUGGGUAUAACCUCGGGAAACUGAGAAUAAUUCCCAAUAGAUCAUUUAUCCUGGAAUGGUUUAUGAUUGAAAUGAUUCGUCGCCAUAGGAUAGGACUGCGGCCUAUCAGCUUGUUGGUGAGGUAAAGGCCCACCAAGGCUAUUACAGGUACGGGCUCUGAGAGGAGAAGCCCGGAGAUGGGUACUGAGACACGGACCCAGGCCCUAUGGGGCGCAGCAGGCGAGAAAACUUUGCAAUGUGCGAAAGCACGACAAGGUUAAUCCGAGUGAUUCCUGCUAAAGGAAUCUUUUGCCAGUCCUAAAAACACUGGUGAAUAAGGGGUGGGCAAGUUCUGGUGUCAGCCGCCGCGGUAAAACCAGCACCUCAAGUUGUCAGGAGGAUUAUUGGGCCUAAAGCAUCCGUAGCCGGCUCUGUGAGUUUUCGGUUAAAUCCAUAUGCUCAACAUAUGGGCUGUCGAAAAUACUGCAGAGCUAGGGAAUGGGAGAGGUAGACGGUACUCGGUAGGAAGGGGUAAAAUCCUUUGAUCUAUCGAUGACCACCUGUGGCGAAGGCGGUCUACCAGAACAUGUUCGACGGUGAGGGAUGAAAGCUGGGGGAGCAAACCGGAUUAGAUACCC
rnacentral:rRNA from 1 species